AGAACGAACGCUGGCGGCAGGCUUAACACAUGCAAGUCGAACGCGUGUAGCAAUACACGAGUGGCGCACGGGUGAGUAACGCGUGGAUAUCUGCCUUUUGGUUCGGAAUAACCCCGGGAAACUGGGGCUAAUACCGGAUGGUUCCUACGGGAUAAAGAUUUAUCGCCAAAAGAUGAGUCCGCGUACGAUUAGCUAGUUGGUGAGGUAAUGGCUCACCAAGGCGACGAUCGUUAGCUGGUCUGAGAGGACGAUCAGCCACACUGGGACUGAGACACGGCCCAGACUCCUACGGGAGGCAGCAGUGGGGAAUAUUGGACAAUGGGGGCAACCCUGAUCCAGCCAUGCCGCGUGAGUGAUGAAGGCCUUCGGGUUGUAAAGCUCGUUUUGGCGGGGACGAUGAUGACGGUACCCGCAGAAUAAGCCCCGGCUAACUUCGUGCCAGCAGCCGC
rnacentral:rRNA from 1 species